ensembl:lncRNA
AGGAAGGAUUGCUCCGCGGGGACCUCUGCUCUCUGCGCUUACGCUGAAUGUUUCAACAAACAAACAAACAAAACCUAAAUCCAGAAUGUGACGUGUGGACAGCCCCUAACAGAUAAACCAUAAGGACUCUGCCCUUUGCACAUAUCUUGUAAGUUUUGAAUGUAAACCAGGAAAAAAAAACAAAAACAAAAAAAAAACAUUGCUAACGUUUCCCCUGUAGAUGCUGCUUUUUUUUUUCUUCUUCUUUCCAUUCUUCUUGUUCUUCUUCUUUUGUAUUUGUUGACAUUUCUCUGUGCUGCCGAGCAAGGCUUCACACUGUCAGGACUCUCUGGCUGCUUUAAAUAAAGACUAUCCUUCUUUUUUUUUUUUUAGCCUAGAAUGCUACCAAAUAACGGUCUGCUUUAGUUGACCAGAGCUUUCACAAAACGAGACAACGGCGACAGCCUCAUCUCUCCCCCAUCGCUAAGUCAAACCACCGGAUUCCCCCAAACCGAAGCCAUCAAAUGCUCAUACGCACGCAGAUAUCCGUCAGACGUCAUGCACAUUAAACUGUGGAGGUCGUGUCUGCAUCAUGCUCCGUGUCCAUUUCUGGUCAAAUCUAGACAGGUCUCUGCUCAUGCUGUUGCCUUCACUUGCUUAAAAGCAGUAAAAUUAUGACCGAUAUGUACAUAAAAUAAAAUAAAGAAAUAAAUAAAAACAAUUCUGGAUUCUAUGGAAAUGUGAAUGUACAAUGUUUAAACAAUAUACUAGUUUUUAUAGGAAGAGGUACUUGGGAUUUUUAUUUUGGGACCUAACAGAAGGUUGCUUAAUGUAUAUAUUUUGUCAAAAAAAUUAAUAAAAAAAAUGCUGUUGACAUUCAUUAAAAAGUAUUAAUAAAGAUUUUUUUUUUUUCCUGUGGAA